UACGAAGGGGGCGAGCGUUGUUCGGAUUUACUGGGCGUAAAGGGCGCGUAGGCGGCCGAUCAAGUCAGGCGUGAAAGCCCCGGGACUCAACCUGGGAAUGGCGCUUGGGACUGGUUGGCUUGAGUUCGGGAGAGGAGAGUGGAAUUCCCAGUGUAGAGGUGAAAUUCGUAGAUAUUGGGAAGAACACCGGUGGCGAAGGCGGCUCUCUGGACCGAGACUGACGCAUGAG
rnacentral:rRNA from 1 species